CAGACCAUUUCUUCUGCACCGAAUACAUUAGCAUGGGAUAAUGGAAUAGGACCCUGUCCUCCUAUUUUGCGUGUUGGUUUUCGAGGACCGGGUAAUGAUUAAUAGGGAUAGUUGGGGGCAUUAAUAUUUAAUUGUCAGAGGUGAAAUUCUUGGAUUUAUGAAAGAUUGACUUCUGCGAAAGCAUCUGCCAAGGAUGUUUUCAUUAAUCAAGAACGAAAGUUAGGGGAUCGAAGACGAUCAGAUACCGUCGUAGUCUUAACCAUAAACGAUGCCGACCAGCGAUUAGGAGACGUUGAAUACAAAACACCACCGUCGGGUCGGCCGUCCUUGGCCGUCGUGCGCGGCGACGCGCGCGGCGGCGAGGGCGGUGUCUGCCCGACGGCCCGGUGAAUGACUCCCCUAGCAGCUUGUGAGAA
rnacentral:rRNA from 1 species